rnacentral:lncRNA from 1 species
AUGGCUGAUUUUAAAAUUUUAACCUUAAACGUCAGAGGAUUGAAGAAUGUCUUGAAAAGAGCAGCAAUGUUUGAUAGGCAGGGGGCGCAGUGGGUUGGACCGGGUCCUGCUCUUCAGUGGGUCUGGGGUUCGAAUCCUGCUUGGGGUGCCUUGCAAUGGACUGGCGUCCCGUCCUCGGUGUGUCUCCUCCCCCUCCGGCCUUACGCCCUGUGUUGCCGGGUAGGCUCCGGUUCCCCGCAACCCCGUAUGGGACGAGCGGUUCAGAAAAUGUGUGUGGGUGUGUUUGAUAGACUUGCAUCCUCUGCCUUCCAGUUAUGUUUUUUGCAGGAAGUUCAUCUUCGAGACCAGCGGGAUGUGGCCGUUUUCUCUUCAGGUUGGAGGAAAGAUAGAUCAUACUGGAGUGUGGGUUGCGUCCACUCAACAGGUGUAGGCAUUCUUUUCGGAGAACGAAGUUUUGAGAAUGUAAGCACGUUUACAGUUCUACAGGGUAGAGUAUUGGAAGUGGACGCCACCUGGAAGGGACAACGCACCCGUGCGAUGUGUGUCUACGCUCCAGUAGAGGCCACAUCCUGCAUAUCUCUCUUAGAAGAGUUGACCCCCUUUUGUGUCUGUAAUAGACACUUAAUAAUUGGGGGGGAUUUUAAUAUAUAUCUGGAGGGUAAAGAGGAUGUUAGCAUCAGACAUUUUAAGAAUUUUAUGCUCAGAUUUGGUCUUUCUGAUGGUUUUAAAGUAUGCAACCCCAGUCAUCCGGGCAUUACCUGGUCUAAUAGUAGAGGAGCACAAAGUCGCCUGGAUUAUAUUUUAGCUUCCGACUCUGUUGUUUUUAAACGGGUUCACCUCUCUUCUCAUUGGCCGACGGACCAUUUGAUGGUAGAGGCUACAGUUUCCAUAGAGUCCCCGUUGCACAGUCCUGGGUAUUGGAAACUGGACGUAGAUGUUUUAAAGGAGAAAGAGUACAGGGACCUUUUUUAUGAGCAUUUUAAGGUAUGGCAGGAGCUCAAAUCUUUCUGUAGCUCUGCCUCGGAUUGGUGGGAAGCCACCAAAACAAAGGUGCAAGCCAUUACUAGCCAGUACUGUGUUCGUAGGAGGGCUCAAUCUCGCAGAGCUAUGCGGAAAGUGGAGGAAAAGUUGGGAAAGCUCUAUGCCAACCAUAAUAAUGGAAAAGAUUUUAACAGUGACAGAGAAGCGGAAUUAAGACGACUGUAUGACCAGAAAGCUAGUGCUCUCCUUGCAAGAGCCCGAGUAUGA